rnacentral:rRNA from 1 species
GGUGAACGCUGGCGGCGUGCCUAAUACAUGCAAGUCGAGCGAAUGGAUUAAGAGCUUGCUCUUAUGAAGUUAGCGGCGGACGGGUGAGUAACACGUGGGUAACCUGCCCAUAAGACUGGGAUAACUCCGGGAAACCGGGGCUAAUACCGGAUAACAUUUUGAACCGCAUGGUUCGAAAUUGAAAGGCGGCUUCAGCUGUCACUUAUGGAUGGACCCGCGUCGCAUUAGCUAGUUGGUGAGGUAACGGCUCACCAAGGCAACGAUGCGUAGCCGACCUGAGAGGGUGAUCGGCCACACUGGGACUGAGACACGGCCCAGACUCCUACGGGGGGCAGCAGUAGGGAAUCUUCCGCAAUGGACGAAAGUCUGACGGAGCAACGCCGCGUGAGUGAUGAAGGCUUUCGGGUCGUAAAACUCUGUUGUUAGGGGAGAACAAGUGCUAGUUGAAUAAGCUGGCACCUUGACGGUACCUAACCAGAAAGCCACGGCUAACUACGUGCCAGCCGCCGCAGUAA